rnacentral:ribozyme from 1 species
GGAAAAGUGAGAUGAAGCAUCUCUACAAUCUUUAUGAUUGCCCAUUUUGUUCUUUUCUUCUCAGUUUUUUUUUUUUCCCUCAAUAGGUG